UCUUCGGAUUAUAAAUUCUGUUUCAGAUAUUAAAACUUCCUAAAAGUGCAGGACGUGUAGAUUGAUUAGUGAUUACCAUCAUGAGAACCAUACUUACCAUUUGCGUCGUUGGCUUGCUGUUGACGGUGGCAUCUCUAGAAGCCGAUGCUAAACGGUUUGUUUUGCAUGACCGUCACUUGGUUCAAGUUAAAACUGAUCCAAAUCUGGAUCAAAACCCUGAGGUUCUUGCUAGUGGUGGUGCAAAAGAUCAAUUUCAGUCUCAGUCCCAGACCACAAGUAAGGGUAGCAGCAACAGCGAUGCAAAGCAUGAUGAUCAUGACGAAGAUGACUUGAACGAGAUUCAUGCUACAAUCCAAUGCAUGCCAGAUAAACCUCAAGGGAGGCCGCAUUGUAAAACUACUGAGUCUAAAAGCCUUCAUGAGCCUAAAAGCCUUCAUGCAUGAAUCAACGAUGUUGUGUAAUAUGUAUAAUAUGUUUAGCUUGUACGUACUUUUGGUAAUGAAUAAUGGGGAACUCAACAGCAUGUGGCCAAAGUAUCCAAAAUAAUUUAUAAGGCACAUGUUUGAUUUGCCCAGAAUCUUAAUAAUAUAUUAGAUGGUAAUCAGUGUUUACUAUAUAUGUGUUUAAAUUGUACCGUUUAGGCUGUAUCAUAUAAUAAACCGUUAUGACUUCGUGUCUUCGUGGA